GGAGGGGUGGCAGAGCGGUUGAAUGCGCUUGUCUUGAAAACAAGUAUGUCCGUAAGGGCAUCGCAGGUUCGAAUCCUGUCCCCUCCGCCA
rnacentral:tRNA from 2 species